rnacentral:tRNA from 1 species
GGGGAUGUAGCUCAGUUGAUAGAGCGUCUGGUUCGCAAUCAGAAGGUCGUGGGUUUGAGCCCCAUCAUCUCCACCA